rnacentral:rRNA from 1 species
UACGGAGGGUGCGAGCGUUGUCCGGAAUCAUUGGGCGUAAAGGGCGCGUAGGUGGCUUCUUAAGCGUGCGGUGAAAGCCUGGGGCUCAACCCCGGGUCGGCCGUGCGAACUGGGGGGCUGGAGCACUGUAGAGGCAGGCGGAAUUCCGGGUGUAGCGGUGGAAUGCGUAGAGAUCCGGAAGAACACCGGUGGCGAAGGCAGAUCUCUGGGCCGUAACUGACGCUGAGGAGCGAAAGCAUGGGGAGCGAACAGG